CCUACGGGUGGCUGCAGUGGGGAAUAUUGGGCAAUGGGCGAAAGCCUGACCCAGCAACGCCGCGUGAAGGAAGAAGGCUUUCGGGUUGUAAACUUCUUUUGACAGGGAAGAGCAGAAGACGGUACCUGUCGAAUAAGCCACGGCUAACUACGUGCCAGCAGCCGCGGUAAUACGGAGGAUGCGAGCGUUAUCCGGAUUUAUUGGGUUUAAAGGGUGCGUAGGCGGAAGGUUAAGUCAGCGGUCAAAUGUCGGUGCUCAACACCGGCCUGCCGUUGAAACUGGUCUUCUUGAGUGAGCGAGAAGUAUGCGGAAUGCGUGGUGUAGCGGUGAAAUGCAUAGAUAUCACGCAGAACUCCGAUUGCGAAGGCAGCAUACCGGCGCUCAACUGACGCUGAGGCACGAAAGCGUGGGGAUCGAACAGGAUUAGAUACCCUAGUAGUC
rnacentral:rRNA from 1 species